rnacentral:rRNA from 1 species
UACGUAGGUGGCAAGCGUUGUCCGGAUUUAUUGGGUUUAAAGGGUGCGUAGGCGGCUUUGUAAGUCAGUGGUGAAAUAUGGCAGCUUAACUGUCAGGGUGCCAUUGAUACUGCGGAGCUUGAGUACAGAUGAGGUAGGCGGAAUUGGCGGUGUAGCGGUGAAAUGCUUAGAUAUCGUCAAGAACACCUAUAGCGAAGGCAGCUUACUAGGCUGUAACUGACGCUGAGGCACGAAAGUGUGGGGAUCAAACAGG